GUGAGGAAUAUUGGUCAAUGGGCGGGAGCCUGAACCAGCCAAGUCGCGUGAAGGAAGAAGGAUCUAUGGUUCGUAAACUUCUUUUGCAGGGGAAUAAAGUGCGGGACGUGUCCUGUUUUGUAUGUACCCUGAGAAUAAGGAUCGGCUAACUCCGUGCCAGCAGCCGCGGUAAUACGGAGGAUCCGAGCGUUAUCCGGAUUUAUUGGGUUUAAAGGGUGCGUAGGUGGUUUGAUAAGUCAGCGGUGAAAGUUUGCAGCUUAACUGUAAAAAUGCCGUUGAAACUGUCGGACUUGAGUGUAAAUGAGGUAGGAGGAAUGCGUGGUGUAGCGGUGAAAUGCAUAGAUAUCACGCAGAACUCCGAUUGCGAAGGCAGCUUACUAAGCUACAACUGACACUGAAGCACGAAAGCGUGGGGAUCAAACAGGAUUAGAAACCCUAGUAGUCC
rnacentral:rRNA from 1 species